rnacentral:lncRNA from 1 species
GCUUGUGUAUUUAAUUCCAAAAACAAUAUGCUUUCUUCAUCAUGAAUUUAUGUCAGUUCAGAAGUGCAUUAGGUAAAUCAUAGGAGUGCUUGCCCAACUCUUACCUUACUCUCAAGCUUGAUGUGUGUCUCUGUAGCUUUGUCUCAUCCAGAAAUGCAAGUCCUCCAACCAGCAGCACAUGUUAUUGUAACCUGUUUCCCAUUAUAUGCAUAUGCUAAAUCCUUACCUGUGCGGGCAUUUGGUAAACA